CACUCAAAAAAACGAUUCAAGCCCUUCUUAGACUUGACACAUUAAUAAUUGUUUCACUUUACUUAAAUAUUUUUAUUUAAGAAAUAAACCUAAGUAUAGUUCAUUAGUGUAACACAAAUUACAUUAAUCAAUUCACUUAUUAAAUGUAUUUAAGACAGAGCAACUCAAAAUGAAUUGUUUUCAUUUGGGACCGCCCCUUUGCACAUCACCUUUGCGCAUGCACAAGAUCCGUUCUGUCAUUUGCCGCCUUUUGUCUAACACUGACGGUGUGAAACUGACGGUGGAAAGUCUAUUAUUUGUUUGAUCAGCAUUAACAAGCAUCUUGGGGCAACCUCUUAUUUAUGGUUAUGCAUGUGGCAGUGCAAACACUGCAGUUUGGAACUAGCUAGCAGGUGAAUGCGGAGUUUUUGAGGAUCACAACAUCACCACUUCAAUCAAAGUUCAUGUGGCAGCUGGACCACUUCUCAGACAAGCUCUUGAAGAUCUUCAAGACCAAAGGAGGAGUGAAGGGGCACAAAAUCAAGGAAGCCCUUGCAAUAUCAGAUUCGUUUGAAAACAUCCACAUCAAGAGGGGGG